UACGUAGGGUGCAAGCGUUAAUCGGAAUUACUGGGCGUAAAGCGCGCGCAGGCGGUCAUCUACGUCUGGGGUGAAAGCCCGGAGCUCAACUCCGGAACUGCCUUUAAGACUGCAUCGCUUGAAUCCGGGAGAGGUGAGUGGAAUUCCGAGUGUAGAGGUGAAAUUCGUAGAUAUUCGGAAGAACACCAGUGGCGAAGGCGGCGACCUGGACAGAUAUUGACGCUGAGGCGCGAAAGCCAGGGGAGCAAACGGG
rnacentral:rRNA from 1 species